CUGAAUAUAAACAGUUUAGGUGCCCUAAAAGGGAUAAUAGGGAAAGUGGUGAAAAUCCAUUACAGCCCCCGCUACUGUAGACGGCAACGAAGCUAAUUCCACUGGACUUGUCUGGGAAGGAUGGUAGAGGUUAUAAGCCGUGAGUCAGGAGACCUGCCUAGUACUGUAUGUAAAA
rnacentral:ncRNA from 2 species